AUGCUCACUACAGCAGCACAUGUACUAAAAUUGCAACAAUGCAGAGAAGAUUAGUAUGUCCCUUAUGCAAGGAUGACGUGCAAAUUCAUGAAGUAGUCCAUAUUUUU